UUCCUGUCACCCAGGCUGAAGUACAGCAACAUGAUCAUAGCUCACUGCAGCCUUAAACUUCUGGGCUCAAGCGAUCCUACAAGUAGCUGGGACUACAGGUCAUACCUGGCACAUGGAAAAGUACCCACUCAGCACUUUUUUGAAUGAAUGAAAACCUUCCUGUGGCAUUCCCACUCAGGAAAGAUCCUGAUGGGUUGCUAGGGCAUUAUUAAUACUAUGGCAAUGAAGUCUGGCUUUCCUGAUGGAAGACUUUGACAGGGAGAGUAUUUCUCCUAAAUGGAAAAGCCAACCAGCAGGUUCAGGACUCCCUCUUCCUAGAGUCCCCUCUGCCUCCAGAGAGACCAGAGCCCCUGUCUCUGGGCCAGGUCAACCAACUCUUUGCUUUCACUCAGAUCCUCCUCACUUGGCUGUCCUUGAACCAGCAUCCUCUCUGACUUGACGAGGUUCUAGCCAUCUCCCAUCCUGAACUCCGUCAGUUCCAGCUCCAGCCACCUGCCCCUGCCUUGCUCUAGGCUGGUAGAUUCGGAAACCCUACCUCUUACCAAAGGCUAGCACAUCCUCUUCUGUCACUCUGAUCAUCCUUCUCUUUUCUCAUCUCCAGUUAGUUUCACUUUGAUCUUUUCAGUUAUCUGCUAGACUUCAGUUUGAGUUUUGUGAUCUGUUCUUCCCUUCUGUACCCAGCACACUAGGGAUCUAAGAGAACUGCACUCAAAUCCCAACUCUGCAUGAACUAGCUGUGUGCCCUUGAGCGAGUUACUUAACCUUUCUGACUCUCAAUUUCCUAAUUCAUGAAAUGGAUGCAAUAAAUCUAUGUCCCUGGGUGGUUAGAGGGGAUUAAACAAGAUGAUACACAUGAAGCAUCUCGCACAGUGACUGGCAACAGUAGGUGAUAAUCAAUUAUUAAUUUCCUUUCUUUCUUCCUAGGUUUGUCUCUCUUACUUCUUCCUGCAGCACAAUAGCAAUCUCUCUUUCUAUUUUUCCCUUUUCUGUCUACAGAAUGUUUUCUAGCCCUCAUAAAAAUAGCAGCACAUGAAAUGAAAUUGCACAGUAUUUUUAUAUCUUCCAAAUAACUCAAUUCAAUUAUAGACUGGUCAAUUUUAGUUAUUUGAGCAUUACCAAAGCAUCUGAAACUGGUAAAUAAAGUUCUGUAUUCACAUUCAGAAAUUAAAGAGCUAAAUGGAUACUUUGGAGAAGCAUAAAGGAAAGAUACUUUCCUUGAGGCUUAAGACCUUAUAUGGAAUGUGUCAGCCUAAAGCUAAUCCUUCUGGCUAGAAGACAAUGCACAGGAAACCCUUAUAGUUUAAAUUCAACACAGCCGCAAUGAAGCUAGUGGAAGAAUGAAGGCUCACAUUUUCUGGGAAGAGGAAUUUGGCAGGAGGUCCCUGUGUGUUAUCCACAGAGUCCUCACGUGCAUGAUUUAGUGCAGGAGAUCUGAAAAUUCAGAGAGAAAGGGAGAAGUUAAUGGGAAAGAGGUUAUCAACUUAUUACUGGGAUGGUUACUAGAAUAAUUGGAUAAUAGUUUGAAGCUCCCUAAACUAAAUGGAGAUUUCAAGACAGGGUCAUAAUCAAAUAUUACAAAUGCAAGCACAUAAGAAAGCAGACAGUCCAGGGUUCAAAUACGGGCAGCACCAGUUUCUCGACUUUAUAAUUUUGGUAAAGU
rnacentral:lncRNA from 1 species